rnacentral:rRNA from 1 species
GAUGAACGCUGGCGGCGUGCCUAAUACAUGCAAGUCGAGCGAAUGGAUUAAGAGCUUGCUCUUAUGAAGUUAGCGGCGGACGGGUGAGUAACACGUGGGUAACCUGCCCAUAAGACUGGGAUAACUCCGGGAAACCGGGGCUAAUACCGGAUAACAUUUUGAACCGCAUGGUUCGAAAUUGAAAGGCGGCUUCGGCUGUCACUUAUGGAUGGACCCGCGUCGCAUUAGCUAGUUGGUGAGGUAACGGCUCACCAAGGCAACGAUGCGUAGCCGACCUGAGAGGGUGUUCGGCCUCACUGGGACUGAGAAACCGCCCAGACUCCUACGGGAGGCAGCAGUAGGGAAUCUUCCGCAAUGGACGAAAGUCUGACGGAGCAACGCCGCGUGAGUGAUGAAGGCUUUCGGGUCGUAAAACUCUGUUGUUAGGGAAGAACAAGUGCUAGUUGAAUAAGCUGGCACCUUGACGGUACCUAACCAGAAAGCCACGGCUAACUACGUGCCAGCCGCCGCGGUAA